AUGGAGCAUGACUUGGCGAAGGCGCGAAACAUGAAGUUGGUGUUAUGCUUGUUCGAACAGUUGUCUGGGCUGAAAAUUAAUUUUCACAAGAGUGAAUUGUUCUGCUUUGGUAGAGCCAAGGAGGAACAAGAGGCAUAUAAGCAACUGUUCGAGUGUGAAUUGGGGGCGUUACCUUUUCGGUAUUUAGGUAUACCCAUUCAUCACCGUAAGCUAACAAAUAGCGAAUGGAAGUGCAUUGAGGAUCGCUUUGAGAAGAAAUUGGGAUGCUGGAAAGGCAAACUAAUGUCAUAUGGAGGCCGGUUAGUUCUUAUUAAUUCAGUGCUCACCAGUAUGCUCAUGUUCCUUCUGUCUUUUUUUGAAGUACCAGUGGGCGUUCGGAAAAGACUCAAUUUCUAUCGAUCUCGUUUCUUCUGGCAAAGCGAUGAGUUGAAGAGAAAGUAUAGAUUAGCUAGAUGGGACAUUAUUUGUCGACCUAAGGACCAAGGGGGUCUCGGGAUCGAAAAUCUGGAGGUAAAGAACAAAUGUCUCCUCUGUAAAUGGCUAUAUAAGCUUUCUCAAGAGACCGAGGCCACUUGGGCCCAGAUUCUGCGUAAUAAGUACCUUCAUUCCAAGACCUUAUCCCAGGUGACGGUGAGACCGACAUAUUCGCCUUUAUGGAAAGGCCUGAUGCGAGUUAAGUCGCUCUUCUUUAACCGAACCAAGGUGGUUGUCGGUAACGGUACGUCUACAAGAUUCUGGGAGGAUACCUGGCUAGGGGAUACGCCAUUGGCGGUUCAGUAUCCUUCUCUCUAUAGUAUUGUUCAACGAAGAGAUGCGACCGUGCAGACGGUGUGUCAGUCCACGCCUCUACAUAUUAGCUUCAGGAGAGCUUUAGCCGGUAACCGUUGGGACGCUUGGCUCCAUCUCGUGAGAGGACUGAUGGAGGUUCAACUUUCUCAGCGCCCAGAUCGGUUAUGUUGGAAGCUUGCGAGGAAUGGAGUAUUUAUGGUUAAAUCUAUGUACUUGGAUGUCAUUAAUUCUAGUUCUAUCCAUAAGUCGAAACAUGUGUGGCAAGUCAAAGUUCCUUUGAGAGUUAAAGUGUUCAUGUGGUUUGUGCAUAAACAAGUCAUUUUAACUAAGGACAACUUGAUUAAACGAAAGUGGAAUGGAUCUAGUCGGUGUAGCUUUUGUGAUAUAGAUGAAACUAUUAAGCACCUCUUUCUCGACUGUCCUAUGGCAAAAAAAUUAUGGCAGUCAGUGACAAUAGCCUUUAAUAUUACUCCUCCACAGAAUAUUAACACGUUAUUCGGAACGUGGUUGGAUGGGAUGAUUGAGCCCUAUACAGCGAGACAAAUUCGUGUUGGAGUAUGUGCGUUAUUAUGGGCUAUUUGA
rnacentral:rRNA from 1 species